GUGGAUUCUCAAGCGUGAGGUAAGAGCAUUUGGUGGAUGCCUUGGCAUGUACAGGCGAUGAAGGACGUGGCACGCUGCGAUAAGCGUGGGGGAGCUGUGAGCAAGCUUUGAUCCCGCGAUUUCCGAAUGGGGAAACCCACCCUCACCAUUUCAUUUCGCUGCUGGCCAUUCUCUUGAUGAGAGUGCCAGUGUCGGAAUGAGGUGGAUAGGGUAUCACCUUGGUGAAUAAAAUAGCCUUGGUGAAGCGAACCCGGAGAACUGAAACAUCUCAGUACCCGGAGGAAAAGACAUCAACCGAGAUUCCGUUAGUAGUGGCGAGCGAACGCGGACCAGGCCAGUGCCUGUUGUUGAAUUAGCAGAACCUUCUGGAAAGUUGGGCCAUAGCGGGUGACAGCCCCGUAUGCGAAAAUGAGACAUCAGGACUUGAGUAGGGCGGGACACGUGAAAUCCUGUCUGAACAUGGGGGGACCACCCUCCAAGCCUAAAUACUCGUACAUGACCGAUAGCGAACAAGUACCGUGAGGGAAAGGUGAAAAGCACCCCGAUGAGGGGAGUGAAACAGUACCUGAAACCGAAUGCUUACAAUCAGUUGGAGGGUCCUUGAGGCCUGACAGCGUACCUCUUGUAUAAUGGGUCAGUGACUUAAUCUAUCAAGCGAGCUUAAGCCGUUAGGUGUAGGCGCAGCGAAAGCGAGUCUGAACAGGGCGACUGAGUUUGAUGGAUUAGACCCGAAACCCGGCGAUCUAGGCAUGACCAGGCUGAAGGUGCGGUAACACGCACUGGAGGG
rnacentral:rRNA from 1 species